GAAAUUAGAUUUGAUCAAACUAAAGCUGCUAACUUAAGUUCAGCGGUUAAAUUCCGUUUUAUUUCU
rnacentral:tRNA from 1 species